rnacentral:lncRNA from 1 species
GAAGCAGUACUGUAUGUGUGGCUAUUGAAUUUAAGGAUAUGGGCGAUGAAGGUCCAUCAACUAUAUUCUGAUAAAAAUAAAGUGCACUAACGAGGUUAAAAUUCUUUAAAGCCGUUAAACUGAAAAAAAAAAACACUCUUCCCUUACCUUUUUCUUCAUUUGUAAAGAGAAUAAGAUUGGACUGGAACUUUUACAGGUGCGUCUCAAAUCCAAUUUCCCAUUAAUUCUUUUUAUUAGAAAUUGUAACUAAUUUGGAAGGAUGGCGGUGAUAUCGGGAAUAGGGAUGUGUUCUACAUGAUCUGUAUUUUUUUUAGUAGGGGUUUCUUCUUUGCUUUUGAUAUGUUUUUUGUGGGAUGAUGGAACAUGGCACACCAGGUGUUCGACAUAUUGUCCAUGAGGUUCUUUUGGCGCAUUAGACAUCCAAUUUCAUUUUCUUCUCUUUCUAUACAGGAGAUUCAACCAAGUCUUUGAUUGUUUAAGAUUUUUAAGUUUAUGUUCUUUUAUAUAUGUAGUAUUAAACUAAACUGUAGAUACACAUACCCCCACCUGAUGGAAAUAUGUUGACUAACGUCUUAGAUUGGAUUAACAUAUAAUUUUACAAAGACAAUGUAAUUUUUCAGGAUGUGUGUAUGUUGCUUGUUCUAGUGUUGUGACCAAUAGUUAAUUCAUAGAUGCAAUAUGAUGAAGAUGACAAUGAAAAAGAUUAUGGUCUAAGAGGGAAAGCUUGGGAGCUUGUUGAUCCCAAAAGUACCCAAACAUCCGUCUCAGUUUAG